GUGACUUCCCCCGUGGUAUUCUUGUGAUAGUGAGCAGGAUCUCACAAGAUCUCAUGGUUUUAUAAUGGGUUUCCCCUUUCACUUGACUUUCAUUCUUCUCCUUCCUGCUGCCAUGUGAAGAAGGAUGCAUUUGCUUUCUCUUUUGCCACGAUUGUAAGUUUCCUGAGUCCUCACCAGCCCUGUGAAACCGUGAGUCAGUUAAACUUCUUUUCUUUAUCAAUUACUCAGUCUCAGGCAGCUCCUUUUUUAUUCCAAUAAUCACUUUAUUUUUUAAAUUUCAUCUUUUAAUCCUCAAAACACUUUUACGUAUUAGAGUCAACCUCUUAAGUAGCAUUUCUUAAGUUACUCUCGUACAGGUGGUAUUUGUUUACAUGAGUAAGUUCUUUAGUGGUGAUUUGUUAGAUUUUUGGUGUACCCAUCAUAAAAAGGAGCCCACAUAGCCAAAGCAAGACUAAGCAAAAAAACAAAUCUGAAGGCAUCACAUUACUUGAUUUCAAACUCUAUUAUAAGGUCAUAGUGUCACCAAAACAGCAUGGUACUGGUCUAAAAAUGGCACAUAGACCAAUGGAACAAUAUAGGGAACACAGAUAUAAACCCAAAUACUUACAGCCAACUGAUCUUUGACAAAGCAAGCCAAAACAUAAAGUGGGGGAAGGACCCCCUUUUCAACAAAUGGUGCUGGGAUAAUUGGCAAGCCACAUGUAGGAGAACAAAACUGGAUGCUCAUCUCUCACCUUAUACAAAAAUCAGCUCAAGAUGGAUUAAGUAUUUAAACUAAGAACUGAAACUAUAAAAAUUCUAGAAGAUAACAUUGGAAAAACCCUUCUAGACAUUGGUUUAGGCAAGGAUUUCAUGACAAGAACCCAAAAGCAAAUGCAAUAAAAUCAAAGAUAAAUAACUGCGACCUAAUUAAAGAGCUUUUGCAUGGCAAAAGGAACAGUCAACAGGGUAAACAGACGAACCACAGAGUGGGAGAAAAUCUUCACAAUCUAUACAUCUGACAAAGGACAAAUAACCAGAAUCUACAAUGAACUCAAAUCAGUAAGAAAAAUACAAACAAUCCCAUCAAAAAGUGGACUUAGGACAUGGAUAGACAAUUCUCAAAAGAAGAUACACAAAUGGCCAACAAACAUAUGAAACAAUGUUCAACAUUGGGCAGUUCUUUAUACCAGCAUGAGAAUGGACUAAUACAGCGACUAUUCUAUAAAAUGCUUGGCAGUUUCCUAUAAAGUUGAACGUGCAGUUGAACAUAUAAAAAAGUAAAUAAAUGAAUAAAUAAAGCCCUUCCCUACCCUUUGACCUAGCAAUUAUAUUCCUCAGGAUUUAUCCAAGAAAUAUUAAAAUAUGUCUACAAAAGGCCGGGCUCAGUGGCUAACGCCUGUAAUCCCAGCACUUUGGGAGGCUGAGGCGGGUGGAUCACGAGGUCAGGAGUUUGAGACCAGCCUGGCCAAUAUGGUGAAAUUCCAUCUCUACUAAAAAUACAAAAAUUAGCGAGGUGUAGUGGCAUGUGCCUGUAGUCCCAGCUACUUGGGAGGCUGAGACAGAAUAAUUGCUUGAACCCAGGAGGCGGAGAUUGCAGUGAGCCAAGAUUGUGCCAUUGCACUACAGCUGUAAAUACAAAAUUCAAUCUACAGCAGGAUAGAUACACACUGUGCAUCAAAUUCGUACAAUGAAAUACUACUCAUCAAUAAAAAGAAGAAAAACUGAUUUCUUUACUAUUUGUAAAUCUCAUAGAUAAUUUGAUGAACAAAAUAAGCCAAAGACAAGAAAGUACAUAUGAUAAGAUUUCCCUUAUACGAAGUUCUAAAGUAUUCAAAACUAAUUUAUAGUGAAAAGAUAAUCUAACUGUGGUUGCCUAGGGUUUGCGGGGGUAUAGGGAGAUAUAAUUUACCCCUAUGGCAAAUGAGAGAGUUCUUUGGUUUGAAGGAAAUUUUCUAUAUCUUAUUAUUGUUAUUCAUUGCACGAGUAUAUUCACUUGUUAAAACUCAUUAAACUCAGUGAAUUUCAAUGUGUGUAAAGAAGUAGACAGGUAGUAAACUCUAGUUAAUAUAUUGAAAAUAAUGAAAUCCAUGUUUCUCACUGCUGAGAGAGUUUCAGUAUUGGAAAGGGGAAAACUAAUAUAUACUAUGUGAUGUUGGAUUGAAAAUAUCAAUAUUUAUUUACAUCAUAUAUAUUUGUGUGUGUGUGUGUGUGUGUGUGUGUGUGUGACAGAGAGAGAGAAAGAGAGACAGAAAGAGAGGGAGAGAGAGAAGGGAGAAAGAAGAAGAGGAAAGGCAGGAGAGAAAAAAAAGAAUAAGCACACCCAGCAUUCAUAUUUAAAUACCAUUUCCCACUAAAAGGAUCCAUGGCUUAAUGGAGAAAUGGUUACCAUUUUCAGGGCUAGAAAAGAGCAAUAUAAGCCUGGAGCAUCUUGUUGCAUUGAGGAAGAUGAGCUCAAAGAAUUAGGGAAAUAUGUCAAAAUGCACAAGUCAGUUUGACAGGGCUCCCUCUUGUCAUAUUCAAAGUAAAUAUUGAAAGGAUUGGAUUGAAAUAACUCAAUAAAGUAAUAAAUCAUAAACCCAUACUCAUAGAAGUAAAUAAAUGAAUAAAUAAAUAAAGCCCUUCCCUACACUAGAGUGCCAAAUAAUAAGCAUAGCAGAAAUGAUAUAUUUGAAAUUAACAGUGGAUGCUAAACUUACAGGGUAGUUGUUGAUUGGAAAGACAUUGUUUCAAAGUAUCUCCAAAAAUCUACUCAUUAACUUCAAAGGAAAAAGUGUAAUAAUAUCAUUCAAUAAUGUAGGUAAUACCACCUGAACCAAAAUAACAAACAUAGCAUAAUCAAAAUUGGGACAAACAAAAUUGUGUCUAAUAAGAAACUCAGAGAAAGACAAAACAUCAUUACUUCUGUUAAUCUAAUCAUGAGGAGGCACUGGACAGACCUAAGGUGGGAGAUAGUCUACAAAAUAACCAGGCCUGUCCUCUUAAAAAAUGUUAAACUCAAUACAUAGAAAGAAAGACUGAAAUAUGACAAUUAAAUACAAUAUGCAAUUGUGGAAUUUGUUUCUGGAAAAGAAAAAUAGCUAUAAAAUACAUUAUUAUGAAACUUCAUUGAAUAUAAUAUUGUCUGUAGAUCGGAUAAUUUCCUUAUUUUUCCUAGUAUUUAAAAUUUUUCCGUGGUUUUGUAAGAAAUUGUAUAAUUUCUUAAGAAAUAUGAACUAAAUUAUUUAAGGUUAAAGAAUCAGAAUACUUUCAGCUUACUAUAAGAUACAUACAAAAUCUGUAUGUAUAAAAUUAAUACACUAUAAGAUACAUACAAAAUCCUGUAUGUGUAAAAUUAAUACACAGAUAUGUAAAUGGUCUAAAAUGAAACAAGCAUUGCAUUUGGAUAAAGGGUAUAUAAGACUUCCUGACACGAUUCUAGCAACUUUCCUGUAAAUUUGAAGCUAUUUCAAAAUAUAAACUAUGCCCCCUGUGAUGGUUAAUAUUAAGGAUCAACUUGAUUGAAGAAUUCAAAGUACUGUUCCGGGGUGUAUCUGUGAGGGUGUUACCAAAGGAGAUUAACAUUUGAGUUAGUGGGCUGGGAGAGGCAGACCCACCCUCAAUCCAGUUAGGCACCAUAUAAUCAGCUGCCAGCCCAGCUAGAAUAAAGCAGGCAGAAGAACAUGAAAGGACUUGACUUGCUGAUUCUUCUGGCCUUCAUUUUUCUCCUGUGCUGGAUGCUUCCUGCCUUCGAACAUCAGACUCCAAGUUCUUCAGCUUUUGGACUCUUGGACUUACAUCAAUGGUUUGCCAGGGGCUCUUGAGCCUUUGACCACAGACUGAAGGCUUCACUGUCUGCUUCCUACUUUUGAGGUUUUGGGACGCAAACUAAUCCACCACUGGCUUCCUUGCUGUUCACCUUGCAGACAACCUACCGUGGGACUUCAUCUUGUGAUGGUGGAUCAUGGCUUAUUUGAGCUGUUGCUCCUCAGUGGACAUCAUAGGAUCUUGCAGAUGUGUAUCAAUCCUUCGCAAGUAGGGAGAGCUCCCUUGGUUACGACAGUCUUAAAGAUCUCCUGUUACAUAAAUUUGACAGUAAGUUAUCAACAUUACAACUAAGAAGCCUAACCAUUUGGAAUUUAAAACUCCUGUAUCAGUCUGCCCUGGAGUCAUUCUGGGAUGAGUCAAGUGGUCAGACACUGUCUCACUGGAUGAGAAACAUGAUCAUGUCUGAGUACCAGGAAUAACAAUUCUAAAAAUGGACAGAUCUAAUUCAUUCAAUAUUUCAGUGAUGGCCAAGUGACGCAUGCUGGGAGGGCUCAACCUCUACGCCUGGAAACUUGGCUCUUUGGGAAGAUGUGGCAAUGCAAAUUUGUUGAAGAUGAAGGAUAUAUCACUCUUCUGGAAUGAAUGGAAUGAAUGGAAUGUCUAGCCAGAGACCUUUCAGAAAUCUUAAUAAUUGUGGCAAUUUUUUUUUCUUAACUGUUCACUUCUCUUAACAAAAGAAAAGCCACUGCAAUGCCCCACCUAUUCCCCUCACACAUGUCUGUUCUUGAUACUAAUUUUUACAUUUUGACAUUUAAAUAGUAACUAUAAUUAUCCACAUUUUUUCUUCUUUGGGCAAUUACAUUUGCAUUCUUAGUGAAGAACUGUAAAACCAAAUGGAUGGACCAAAAAAAUGGUUUAAACAGAAGUCGUACAAACAUGCAUAUUUGAAAGAGGAGAUUCUUAUAACUACAUAAAAUAAAUAAUGUAAUAUCUUCUAUUUAUACUUUCCAGUAGAUUAAGUGCUGAGGACACAGUCAACAAAAACAACAUUAUAUGUUUCUACUGGCAAUAUCCCUGGUGUUGCCUAAUUGGUUGAAUUUCAAACCAUUAUCUUUAAAGAAGCAUCUCUAUAGGUAUAGUUAGUUCUUCUUUGCUUUCUGCCAGAGAAGCCUGCAGAACACAAUCAAGGGAUAUUGAUGUUCAAAGAAAAGAAUGGCCUGACAAUUCAAACAACAUACCUAAAAUUUUUUACGUUCUAAGAAAAUAGAUGCUGUGUUGCAUUUUUGUGCAUCUUUGUACCUCCUUGGUUGAUAACAAAGUAAGUUUUCUAGCACUGCCUCUGGGUUCUUUCUAAGUAGAGACUUGUCCUGUAACAAGAUGAAUGAAAGUAUGAGCAGAUAAAUAAUGUGCAUACAACGUAGAAUGAAACUUUUAAAAUUAACGUAGCAACUUCAAAAGACUUAAAAAAUGAAAAUUCCAUGGAAAAAUUUUAAUAUGCCUUAUUAUCCUCCAAUAUUUGUAGACCUCAGAAAAAAGUUGUUUCUCAUUCUGUUGAACAUAUAUUUAUGAAUUUUGUUCAAAUGCAAAAAUCAACUAAUGGCUAAUGUCUAAAAAUAAGAAAACAUAUUAGCUAAUAAAAGACUUUUGGGAAAAUGUUAAUUUGUUUUGAUUGAAAAUUGUUCAUUAAUGUACUCUCAUGAACUACUAUUUAGAUUUCAUCAUGAAUUUAAACUACUUAUCACAAGUUUUACGAACAGAAUAUAGUCAGGUAAUAUUUCCAAUUUAUUUAAUAAGUUUUUGUUUAGCAUAUACUAUAUGUCUGGCACUAUAAAAGACACUGGUUAUAUUGCAAUAAACAAAAUAUAAUUGUUUUCUAUAAGAUUUGCUUGAAUUAUUUUUUACCUAAUUUAAUACUUUAAAAAUUUGCUAACGUAAAAUUUUUUAUGACUUACAAAAUACUUAUAUAAGCAUUAUCUCAUUGAUUCAUUUUAUAAUCCUGUAAAAGAUAUGAAGUUAUUUUUAUUGUUUUCAUUUUACAUGUAAAGGAAAAAUGCCCCAAAGUCUUAAGUAAAUUUAAAAAUAUUUUUUGGCUUGCAAGUAAUGAAGUUAGGACUUAAACAUAUUUCUAUAAUCCCUGCAUCAUACUUUGCAUAUGCUCUCCAAAAUGCAAAUAAAUGCUUUGUUUAAUAUCACAAUGAUCUCUUUCCUUUAACUUUGAGUAUUUAAAAUAUUACCUAUAAUAUUUCUAUAUUACAUUAAUAACAUAAUAUAGGUUGGAUUUUACUUUUAUCAUUUGAGUCUCAUGUGCUUAAAUUUCAUAAGUUGCAAGCAUUAAUAUUUUGUAUUUUGCUGAAUCUAUUUUUAUCUAAUGGCAUAUUACUCGGAAAUGAAGUUUUAGUUGGAUAGGUCUUCAAGUGCAUUAUAUAGAGGCUGAAAUCCACAAUUGUAUUUAAUUUUCAUUUUUCUAUUUUGGCUUUAAGCUAAGGUCUGUUACAUACAAUGUCUAAUGAGGUAAUCUUGUGAACAAUGCCUA
rnacentral:lncRNA from 1 species